GAAUAGUAACCCGAUGUCUUCUAAUUCAUGGAAACCUAACAUAGUUGCCCAGAUUCAACAGAAAGAAGUUCUCUGUUUCAGCUCAUGAGACGCUGCUGUAGAAACUUCCUCGGAGCUGAGCUUAUACACAUAAACACGGCCUCUACCCUUCCUUUCUUGGAUAUGCACUUGAGAAGAAAUCACUGAAAUCUUCUUUUCUAAAAUGUGAAAAAUGAACUUCAACUGGAUGUCGUCCUUGGCGCGUAGAAAACUGAGUCAGUUUUUGGGAGAAGUGCUGAAUAAAUAGUGAAGAGCAGAAAUGUUUCUGGAACUCUCUGAAGCUUUAGUCACUCCACCCUGAGGCUCACUGUUCACCACGUCCCCACCUUCCUUCCCCUUAACACCGAAACCCCAGCCAGCGCCUCCUUGCAGCUCCGUGGGACUGGGGCUGCCGUGACGCAUUUAAACUGACUUACUUCUUAAAAAGGCUGUAGAUCAAGAAGGUGACUCUUUCUAGCAGAUGUGCUCUUUGCAUGGGAAUGGGGUCCCCUUCGUAUGUCAUUUUAGUCGACUGUUCCUCUAAUUUCUCCAGUUGCCUUCUGAGCUGGAACAGACUUUCUGCCAACAGUGUAAAGCUAUCAAAUAGCAAAGGACCAUCAGCGGACAGCUUUCCCCUUACCAAUCUACCAUUUUAACUGUUGACCACAUUAGCAAGCAAUACAUCACUACAUAAUUAUUCCAUUAAGAGAAUCAUUCACUCAACUUCAUUAAAGGUCAGUGGCGGUUCUUUAUGCUUACUUCCCUGAUCCGUUUUUCCCUCUAAGUUGCAUGGCACAUAGGAAAUGGAAAAUAUUUCCAAUGUUUUGUCAUUUAUACCCGUAGUUAUAGACAUCAUUCAUCAAAUUUUGUCAACAUCAGGAACUGAAUCCCUUUCAAUGUUUGUUUAAAAGUCUGUUAAGCAUGUAGAUGUUAAUGAUGUGGUACUCGUUAAUUAAUGUGACCCUCAUUAAUGGGUAAAAAAGAACAAAUUUUAAACUUUAAAGGUACAUGAUAUGAGGAGUGUUAGGUGUAAGAAUACUAAAGAAUAAAAACAAUAAGAAAU